CGCCCCUGGCAGCCAGUGGCUGUGGGUUUGCACAGUGAGCCAUUGAUGAGAGACCGGCACUUGACUCUCAUUUCCUUGUUCCAUCAGAACGCUGUCCAACUGGGCGUACGAGUUUGACAAGUGGGCCCCCUCCGUGGUGAAGGUGUCUUACAAGGGAUCCCCAGCAGCAAGACGGGCCUUUGUCCCCCAGCUCCGGAGUGGGAAGUUCAACGUCUUGCUGACGACGUACGAGUACAUCAUCAAAGACAAGCACAUCCUCGCCAAGAUCCGUUGGAAGUACAUGAUUGUGGACGAAGGUCACCGCAUGAAGAACCACCACUGCAAGCUGACGCAGGUGCUCAACACGCACUAUGUGGCACCCCGCCGCCUGCUGCUGACGGGCACACCGCUGCAGAACAAGCUUCCCGAGCUCUGGGCGCUGCUCAACUUCCUGCUGCCCACCAUCUUCAAGAGCUGCAGCACCUUCGAGCAGUGGUUUAACGCACCCUUUGCCAUGACCGGGGAAAAGGUGGACCUGAAUGAGGAGGAAACCAUUCUCAUCAUCCGGCGUCU
rnacentral:sRNA from 1 species